rnacentral:rRNA from 1 species
UACGUAGGGUGCGAGCGUUAAUCGGAAUUACUGGGCGUAAAGCGUGCGCAGGCGGUGAUGUAAGACAGAUGUGAAAUCCCCGGGCUCAACCUGGGAACUGCAUUUGUGACUGCAUCGCUGGAGUGCGGCAGAGGGGGAUGGAAUUCCGCGUGUAGCAGUGAAAUGCGUAGAUAUGCGGAGGAACACCGAUGGCGAAGGCAAUCCACUGGGCCUGCACUGACGCUCAUGCACGAAAGCGUGGGGAGCAAACAGG